rnacentral:rRNA from 1 species
UAGAAAAAGGGGGUCCUAAAAAUGCAAGUCGAGCGCUUCUUUUUCCUCCGGAACUUGCUCCACCGCGAAAAAGAGGAGUGGCGAACGGGUGAGUAACACUUGGGUGACCUGCCCAUCUUAAGGGGGUAAAACUUGGACCAGGUGCUAAUACCUUAUAACAAUCGAAACCGCAUGGUUUUGAUUUGAAAGGCGCUUUCGGGUGUCACUGAUGGAUGGACCCGCGGUGCAUUAGCUAGUUGGCGAGGUAACGGCUCACCAAGGCGACGAUGCCAGCCGAGCUGAGAGGGUGAUCGGCCACCUUGGAACUGAGACACGGCCCAGACUCCUACGGGAGGGAGCAAUAGGGAGUCUUCGGCAAUGGACGAAAGUCUGACCGACCAACGCCGCGGGAGUGAUCAUUGUUUUCGGAUCGAAAAACUCUGUUGGUAGAGAAGAACAAGGAUGAUAGUAACUGUUCAUCCCUUGACGGUAUCUAACCAGAAAGCCACGGCUAACUAGUGGCCAGCAUCCGCGGUAAUACAUAGGUGGCAAGCUUUGUCCGGAUUUAUUGGGCGUAAAGCGACGCAAGCAUUUCUUAAGUCUGAUGUGAAAUCCCCCGGCUCAUCCUGGGGAGGUGCUUUGGAACUGGGA